UUGGUACUCCCUCCGUCCGGAAAUACUUGUCCUCGAAAUGGUUGUAUCUAGACUUAUUUUAGUUAUAGAUACAUCCAUUUUAUCCAUUUCGAGGACAAGUAUUUCCGGACGGAGGGAGUACCCA
rnacentral:pre_miRNA from 1 species